rnacentral:rRNA from 1 species
UACGUAGGGAGCAAGCGUUGUCCGGAAUCAUUGGGCGUAAAGCGCGCGUAGGCGGCCUCAUAAGUCCGUUGUGAAAGUCAAAGGCUCAACCUUUGAAAGCCGAUGGAUACUGUGAGGCUAGAGUCCGGAAGAGGCGAGUGGAAUUCCUGGUGUAGCGGUGGAAUGCGCAGAUAUCAGGAGGAACACCGAUAGCGAAGGCAGCUCGCUGGGACGGUACUGACGCUAAGGCGCGAAAGCGUGGGGAGCGAACAGG